AAAAUCAACAUCUAUCUUGAAUAAUGAACAAUUCAAUUAUUUUGAACACUAAAAAAAUACUCCAACAAUUCAAUUAUUUUGGAACGAAAGGAGUAUAAGUAUCCCAUUAAACUAUCACCAUAUUCCAACGACAAACCUUUUCGUUUAGGAGAUCCUAUUACUUUCUCAACUAUUUUAAAAUGAAACUUAUACACCAUUAAGUGUUGAGCUGGUAAAG
rnacentral:lncRNA from 1 species